rnacentral:misc_RNA from 1 species
UCGAACGAAACUUCUGGCUGGGUGCUGUUGUGCUGGCCCUUUGGGCAACGUGCACGCCUCUGGCUGUUUGUUUCUUCUUUUCCACCUGUGCACUGCCUGUAGACACCCUGUGUCUAUGACCUGGUUAUUAUACACACGCAUAUGUUAUAUUGGUUGGCAUGUCUUUAUAUAUGAUGAUGAAUUAUAUAUA